rnacentral:lncRNA from 1 species
GUUUAAUUGUCGUCUAAGGGAAUAAUAGGUUCUUCAGAACAAAUGGUUUUCAGUACCACCUGCCUGGGUAUACCAUGUUUCUAGAUAUUCUAAAAUUCUACCAGGUGAUGUAUUCUUCUGUUAUAACACAUCUGAAAUUUAGGGUGAUAGAAUUCAUUGUUUGAAGUAUUGUUGGACACGUAGCUCUUUAGAAUUGUUUUGAGUAAGGUGGAGAAUGAAUCAGUUUGUGAGUAAAUCAGUUGCAUUGGUUUUGGUUGUAUGUAGCAAGUUUGGGUUAAUAUAAAGGUGAAUUGAGAUAUUGAAGGAUGAUUAUGAAUUAUCUAGGUAGCAGAGGGGGUGGAUGGGUGCCUUAGGCAUACAGGAUAAGGGAUCACUUUGCUAACACCUGUGUAAUGGUGUCUAAGGUUUUUGUUGAUUUGUAAGGCCCUGCCAUUGUCCAUGUUCUACACCCACAACAACCAAACAACUCAAAAUAGAACCCCAAACCAGUAACCAUAAAUAUCCCCAAACAGUUGAAAUAUCAAUUAAUGUUACUUGAUCCUUUAAUCGAAUAUACAAUGAGUAGC